CGGCCGCGUCGACCGAUAACGGUCCUAAGGUAGCGAAAUUCCUUGUCGGGUAAGUUCCGACCUGCACGAAUGGUCUAAUGAGUUGUACACUGUCUCCUCCACGAGCCCGGUGAAAUUGUAGUAUCGGUGAAGAUGCCGGUUACCCGUCACGGGACGGAAAGACCCCAUGAACCUUCACUACAACUUUGCAUUGAUUUUGAAUUUUUGAUGUGUAGGAUAGUUGGGAGACUUUGAAGCUCUGUCGCCAGGCAGGGUGGAGUCAACGUUGAAAUACCAACCUUUAAACAUUUAGAAUCUAAUCCCUUACGGGAAACAGUGCAUGGUGGGUAGUUUGACUGGGGUGGUCGCCUCCUAAAGUGUAACGGAGGCUUGCAAAGGUUCCCUCAGUACGGUUGGUAAUCGUACAUAGAGCGUAUUAGUAUAAGGGAGCUUGACUGUGAGACUUACAAGUCGAGCAGGGACGAAAGUCGGCUAAAGUGAUCCGGCGGUUCUGUAUGGAAGGGCCGUCGCUCAAAGGAUAAAAGGUACUCUCUGGAUAACAGGCUGAUCUCACCCAAGAGCUCAUAUCCGG
rnacentral:rRNA from 1 species